AAUCAAGUGACUUAAGAGCAUCAGGCGAAUGCCUUGGCGCACACAGGCGAUGAAGGACGUGGUACGCUGCGAAAAGCCAUGGGGAGCUGCGAACAAGCUUUGAUCCGUGGAUAUCCGAAUGGGGAAACCCGGCCCUUCGGGGUCAUGCACUGCUGAAUACAUAGGUAGUGCAGGCGAACCCGGUGAACUGAAACAUCUCAGUAACCGGAGGAAAGGACAUCAACCGAGACUCCGUUAGUAGUGGCGAGCGAACGCGGACCAGGCCAGUGCCGGUCAUUGUCUAACUGGAACUUUCUGGAAAGUUAGGCCGUAGUGGGUGACAGCCCCGUACAGGUGUUGACAAUGAACGGACUUGAGUAAGGCGGGACACGUGAAAUCCUGUCUGAACAUGGGGGGACCACCCUCCAAGCCUAAGUACUCGUGUGCGACCGAUAGUGAACAAGUACCGUGAGGGAAAGGUGAAAAGAACCCCGACGAGGGGAGUGAAAGAGAUCCUGAAACCGGAUGCUUACAAUCAGUCGGAGCCCUUCGGGGUGACGGCGUACCUUUUGUAUAAUGGGUCAGCGACUUAAUCUGUCGAGCAAGCUUAAACCGUUAGGUGUAGGCGCAGGGAAACCGAGUCUUAAUAGGGCGACAAGUUCGAUGUAUUAGACCCGAAACCAGGUGAUCUAGCCAUGGGCAGGUUGAAGGUGCAGUAACAUGCACUGGAGGACCGAACCCACCUAUGUUGAAAAAUGGGGGGAUGACUUGUGGCUAGGGGUGAAAGGCCAAUCAAACCUGGAAAUAGCUGGUUCUCCGCGAAAUCUAUUUAGGUAGAGCGUCGGACUAAUACUCUCGGGGGUAGAGCACUGGAUGGGCUAGGGGGGUUCAACGCCUUACCAAACCUAACCAAACUCCGAAUACCGAGAAGUAAUAUCUGGCAGACACACUGCGGGUGCUAAGGUCCGUAGUGGAAAGGGAAACAGCCCUAAUCGCCAGCUAAGGUCCCUAAGUUAUGGCUAAGUGGCAAAGGAUGUGGAAAUCCCAAAACAACCAGGAGGUUGGCUUAGAAGCAGCCAUCCUUUAAAGAAAGCGUAACAGCUCACUGGUCUAAAUAAGGGUUUCUGCGCCGAAAAUGUAACGGGGCUAAAGCCAUACACCGAAGCUGCGAAUGUAUCAUUUCUUCUGGAUUUGAUACGUGGUAGCGGAGCGUUCCGUAAGCCUGUGAAGGGUACUCGUAAGAGUAUCUGGAGGUAUCGGAAGUGAGAAUGCUGACAUGAGUAACGAUAAAGAGUGUGAGAGACACUCUCGCCGAAAGUCCAAGGGUUCCUGCGUAAAGCUAAUCUGCGCAGGGUUAGCCGGCCCCUAAGGCGAGGCCGAAAGGCGUAGUCGAUGGGAACGGGGUUAAUAUUCCCCGGCCAGCGGGUGGUGACGAAUGUUGUAAGUUGUCAGUCCUUAUCGGAUUGAACUGGCAGCGAAGAUGUUCCAGGAAAUAGCCCCCGCAUCAGACCGUACCCCAAACCGACACAGGUGGACAGGUAGAGAAUACUAAGGCGCUUGAGAGAACCGCAUUGAAGGAACUCGGCAAAAUGCACCCGUAACUUCGGGAGAAGGGUGACCUGCACUUGGGCAACCAGGUGCGGGUGGCACAGAUCAGGGGGUGGCGACUGUUUACUAAAAACACACGGCUCUGCGAAGUCGCAAGACGACGUAUAGGGUCUGACGCCUGCCCGCUGCCGGAAGGUUAAAGAGAGGGGUGAGAGCUCUGAACUGAAGCCCCGGUAAACGGCGGCCGUAACUAUAACGGUCCUAAGGUAGCGAAAUUCCUUGUCGGGUAAGUUCCGACCUGCACGAAUGGCGUAACGACUUCCCCGCUGUCUCCAAU
rnacentral:rRNA from 1 species